rnacentral:rRNA from 1 species
UACGUAGGGUGCGAGCGUUGUCCGGAAUUAUUGGGCGUAAAGGGCUCGUAGGCGGUUUGUCGCGUCGGGCGUGAAAUCCACUGGCUUAACUGGUGGCUUGCUUUCGAUACGGGCAGACUGGAGGUAUGCAGGGGAGAACGGAAUUCCUGGUGUAGCGGUGAAAUGCGCAGAUAUCAGGAGGAACACCCGUGGCUAAGGCGGCUCUCUAGUACGGUACUGACGCUGAGACGCGAAAGCGUGGGGAGCGAACAGG